UAGGAGUGUGCUCCGGCGCCCAAGCAGAGCUCUCCCGACUCUGACUCCUGCCCAUCAUCUCCUAAGCACCCCUCAACUCCGUCAGAGAAGUGCGGGGUCCUAAAUGUCACCAAAAUCACGGAGAAUGGGAAAAAAGUCAGGAAGAACUGGGCAUCCUCGUGGACGGUGUUACAGGGUUCCUCGCUCCUCUUUGCAAAGGGUCAAGGAGGUAGCACGAGCUGGUCUUUUUACCGAAACGGCUCCAUCCCCGAGUUGCUCCUCACUCUUCUUAGCAACUUGAAGCCAUCAGUCAAGCCCCGCCCCGCUGUCUCCUAUGUAAACGACAGCCCCGCAAAGGCUGCUGCUGCUGCUGCACGUCCUUUUUUUUUCCCUCGCCGCUACUUGGGCCCUAACUGACAGACUUGUGUGUGUUUCACUGUGUGCUGCUAAUGGUUCAGGUUGAAUUAUUAACCACAUCACUCAAAAAUCUGGCACUCUUAACUCAGAAACGCUCCUGAUGGGACUUUUGAGCAUUUUCAAUAAAGUACCAACCAGGGGUGAACACUUUUGAAAAAUAAUCUAAUUGCAUUUUCUCCCCCAGACUUGAAUUUAUAUUAUCCUGACACCACAGGAGGACUUUCUGUUUAAAUGUCUUAUGUCUAAUAUUAUCCCGUUGCUGAAAUCUUGGCGUUACGUCAAAUUCAUGGUCAAAUUUGUUAAAUACGAUGUCAUUCAUUUGAUAGUUUACGAUAUAAUAUGAAAGGCAGGUGGCGCUAAUGUCGUAAAUGUGCCAAAAGUUAUUGUGGCGGCCAUUUGCUUGGAUCGGAGUAACUUGUCAUCAUAACAUGACUAACGGUGAUUUGCCCGCAAAAAAAAAAACAAAAAACAAAAAAAACAAAAAAAAAAACAAUCCAAGGAAUUAACACCACUUUAAUACAGCAGCUUAACCGUUUUGUAUUUAGAUACUAUUUGCCAUUUAACUGCUUGUCUUGAUCUUAGACCAGUUUAACCUCACGGUUCCCUCUCUGCGACAUUCUCGCUUAUGCUGCGUCACUGCAUUUCAGAAGUUUGGCAGCAACCAAUCGAAGCCCGAGUUUACCGUUGACUUGCGCGGGGGAUCCGUGGAAUGGGCUUCCAAGGACAAGUCCAGCAAGAAGCAUGUCAUUGAGCUGAAGACGCGUCAGGGGACAGAACUGCUGAUCCAGUCUGAGAUUGAUAGCGUCAUCAAUGACUGGUACCGGGCCCUGACCGAGACCAUUAACACAUACGUAAGUCGACUUAGUCAGACUGGCGGAUGUGUGUCACCAGCCUUACUGCAUCGAAAAAAAAAAA